rnacentral:rRNA from 1 species
CGGGUGAGUAAUGCCUAGGAAUCUGCCUGGUAGUGGGGGGACAACGUUUCGAAAGGAACGCUAAUACCGCAUACGUCCUACGGGAGAAAGCAGGGGACCUUCGGGCCUUGCGCUAUCAGAUGAGCCUAGGUCGGAUUAGCUAGUUGGUGAGGUAAUGGCUCACCAAGGCGACGAUCCGUAACUGGUCUGAGAGGAUGAUCAGUCACACUGGAACUGAGACACGGUCCAGACUCCUACGGGAGGCAGCAGCU